rnacentral:rRNA from 1 species
CCUACGGGAGGCUGCAGUGGGGAAUAUUGGACAAUGGGCGAAAGCCUGAUCCAGCCAUGCCGCGUGUGUGAAGAAGGCCUUCGGGUUGUAAAGCACUUUCAGUGGGGAAGAAAGCCUUGGGGCUAAUACCCUCGAGGAAGGACAUCACCCACAGAAGAAGCACCGGCUAACUCCGUGCCAGCAGCCGCGGUAAUACGGAGGGUGCGAGCGUUAAUCGGAAUUACUGGGCGUAAAGCGCGCGUAGGCGGUCUGAUAAGCCGGUUGUGAAAGCCCCGGGCUCAACCUGGGAACGGCAUCCGGAACUGUCAGGCUAGAGUGCAGGAGAGGAAAGUAGAAUUCCCGGUGUAGCGGUGAAAUGCGUAGAGAUCGGGAGGAAUACCAGUGGCGAAGGCGGCCUUCUGGACUGACACUGACGCUGAGGUGCGAAAGCGUGGGUAGCAAACAGGAUUAGAUACCCGUGUAGUC